AGUCUAAAACCAUAUCCUCACACAUAGUGUUUGACAAUUUUUAGAAGAAACUAGAAAAGAAAAAGAAGGGAAUACUUGAGCAUUGGAAAAUCGACGAUAUUCCCAAAGCUUUUUUCCUUUGUUAAAUUGCUUUUGAAAGUUGAUUAGCCUUUAGAACACAAAAAGAAGAGAGAGAGAGAGAUGUGUAUGCUAGUGGUUUGUAAGGAUUGCAGCAAAUAUACAUGGAAGGGGUGUGGCCGCCACCUUCCUGGUCUCUACAAGAGCGUAGAGAAGGGGAAGCACUGCAACUGCCACCCUUGGCCGGGUGUCGUCGUGCCACCGGAAGAUGUCCCCGACACGACGAAGCCAUCGCAACCAGUGCAACCAUCAUCUGUCUCUACAGGUAAGACAGUUAAGUAGGACACUAUGGGAGUAAGCCAAACUACAACUAUUACUACCUCUCUUCACUUGUCAAGGUUGUCACUUCAAAUAUUUCAUAUACUAUUAUUAUUCCAUAAAUAACGAAGGGCUUUGUAAAGGAUGCAAUCGUGUCCAAUUCUAAAUCAAUCAAAAAAAAAAAAAAAAACUUUGAGUCAUG